rnacentral:rRNA from 1 species
GCUGGCGGCAGGCCUAACACAUGCAAGUCGAACGCCCCUUCGGGGGAGUGGCAGACGGGUGAGUAACACGUGGGAACGUGCCCUUCGGUCUGGGAUAACUCAUGGAAACGUGAGCUAAUACCGGAUACGCCCUUCGGGGGAAAGAUUUAUCGCUGAAGGAUCGGCCCGCGUCGGAUUAGCUUGUUGGUGAGGUAACGGCUCACCAAGGCGACGAUCCGUAGCUGGUCUGAGAGGAUGAUCAGCCACACUGGGACUGAGACACGGCCCAGACUCCUACGGGAGGCAGCAGUGAGGAAUAUUGGACAAUGGGCGCAAGCCUGAUCCAGCCAUGCCGCGUGAGUGAUGAAGGCCUUAGGGUUGUAAAGCUCUUUCACCGGUGAAGAUAAUGACGGUAACCGGAGAAGAAGCCCCGGCUAACUUCGUGCCAGCAGCCGCGGUAAU